ACUCGUGUCGACAUCUGGCAAGAAGAGGAACGUGACACAGAUCAACUGAAGGAACAAGUGGAGCUAUGAGAUUUUGGGACUUUGGGUGAUCUGGCCUCUUAAAAUGACAUGAAUUCCUUCAACAUUCAACACAACACAGCUGAUGUCGUCCACUGAGGCUGCACAUCUACAGGAGCCUUAACAUGCAACAAAAGUCAGCAUUCAUGCUGGAAAGUGGAGAACUGCAUCAUGUUGAUAAACAGGAUGUGGACGAACCUGAAGACUGUGCACUUG